rnacentral:rRNA from 1 species
GAUGAACGCUGGCGGCGUGCCUAAUACAUGCAAGUCGAGCGAACGGACGAGAAGCUUGCUUCUCUGAUGUUAGCGGCGGACGGGUGAGUAACACGUGGAUAACCUACCUAUAAGACUGGGAUAACUUCGGGAAACCGGAGCUAAUACCGGAUAAUAUUUUGAACCGCAUGGUUCAAAAGUGAAAGACGGUCUUGCUGUCACUUAUAGAUGGAUCCGCGCUGCAUUAGCUAGUUGGUAAGGUAACGGCUUACCAAGGCAACGAUGCAUAGCCGACGUGAGAGGGUGAUCGGCCACACUGGAGCUGAGACAGGGUCCAGAGUCCUACGAGAGGCAGCAGUAGGGAAUGUGCCGCAGUGGGCGAAAGCCUGACGGAGCAACGCCGCGUGAGUGGUGGAGAUCUUCGGAUCGUAAAACUCUGUUAUUAGGGAAAAACAUAUGUGGAAGUAACUGUGCACAGCUUGACGGUACCUAAUCAGAAAGCCACGGCUAACUACGUG